GUGCAACCAACUUCAAAACUCAUUACCAGAUGUCGCUAGUGUUACCAUUGUUGUUUUUGCAUCGUGAAACGAGGCAAAAUAGGCGAAACAAUUGGAUGCUAAUUAAUACUUAUAUUCCUGUGAUUUCAUAUACCAAAUUGAACUUCGUAACUUAUGUAGAUGCAUACUGUCAGUCAUUCCAAAAAGUUGACUUAGCGCUCAGUCACUUUCCAUCCAAUAGACCCAUCAUGUUGUCAAAAGUCUAAAACUAAUGUGUGAAGCUCACAUAUUGUGGAAUACAAAUGUGUGGAGACAAGGUAUUUCCCCAUUACUGCUACCACACCAACCACACCAAACCAAUCGCCUUACUAAAUUCAGCACCAUUCACCCAUAUGAUAAAGGAAAUUUACCUCAACCUAAGGCUGUUGGUUGCUGUGAUUUCCAUUCUUACGAUUUUUAUCAUGAAAACUUCAGUGUGCUUGUUAGUAUAGAGCACAUAAUAGAUCCUUAAGCCAAUGCUGACCUUUGUCCAUGAAGGAAGAGGGACAUCAAGCAACGUUCUGCUCCAUCCUUAUCUUCCCGACGUACGCUCAUCUAGCUUCACUGCUUUUGCUGCUACAACUUGUCUUAUUACUUCACCGACGAGUUGGAACACUUCAGUGGUCGCUACCCUUUGCUGUUACACACCUGCAGUUACUCACCACGGGAUUAUGCCCAG